rnacentral:rRNA from 1 species
UGGGGAAUCUUGCACAAUGGGGGAAACCCUGAUGCAGCGACGCCGCGUGAGCGAUGAAGGUUUUCGAUUCGAAAAGCUUUGUCCUAUGGGAAGAUAAUGACGGUACCAUGGGAGGAAGCCCCGGCUAACUACGUGCCAGCAGCCGCGGUAAUACGUAGGGGGCGAGCGUUGUCCGGAAUUACUGGGCGUAAAGUGUUCGCAGGCGGCAUGGCAAGUCCGAUGUAAAAGGCGAAGGCUCAACCUUCGUAAGCAUCGGAAACUGUCAAGCUUGAGUGAAGGAGAGGCAAGGAGAAAUCCUAGUGUAGCGGUGGAAUGCGUAGAUAUUAGGAGGAAUACCGGUGGCGAAGGGGACUUGCUGGACUUCAACUGACGCUGAGGAACGAAAGCGUGGGUAGCAAAAAGG